GAAGGAUUUGGAAAAUUCCGCUAAAGAGGGUGAAAGCCCCGUAGACGAAAUGCUAACAACACCUAGGAGGAUCCUGAGUACGGCGGAACACGAGAAAUUCCGUCGGAAUCCGCGGGGACCAUCCCGCAAGGCUAAAUACUCCCUAGUGACCGAUAGUGAACCAGUACCGUGAGGGAAAGGUGAAAAGCACCCCGGAAGGGGAGUGAAAUAGAUCCUGAAACCGUGUGCCUACAACAAGUCAAAGCUCGUUAAUGAGUGAUGGCGUGCCUUUUGUAGAAUGAACCGGCGAGUUACGAUUGCAUGCGAGGUUAAGUCGAAGAGACGGAGCCGCAGCG
rnacentral:rRNA from 1 species